rnacentral:rRNA from 1 species
UACGUAGGGUGCAAGCGUUGUCCGGAAUUAUUGGGCGUAAAGAGCUCGUAGGCGGUUUGUCGCGUCUGCUGUGAAAACCCGAGGCUCAACCUCGGGCCUGCAGUGGGUACGGGCAGACUAGAGUGCGGUAGGGGAGAUUGGAAUUCCUGGUGUAGCGGUGAAAUGCGCAGAUAUCAGGAGGAACACCAAUGGCGAAGGCAGCACUCUGGGACGGUACUGACGCUGAGACGCGAAAGCGUGGGGAGCAAACAGG